GAUGAAGAACGUAGCGAAAUGCGAUAUGUAAUGUGAAUUGCAGAAUUCAGUGAAUCAUCGAAUCUUUGAACGCACAUUGCGCCCGCUAGUAUUCUGGCGGGCAUGCCUGUCCGAGCGUCAUUUCAACCCUCAAGCCCCCGGGCUUGGUGUUGGGGAUCGGCGAGCCUCCGCGCCCGCCGUCCCCUAAAUCUAGUGGCGGUCUCGCUGUAGCUUCCUCUGCGUAGUAGCACACCUCGCACUGGGAAACAGCGCGGCCACGCCGUUAAACCCCCAACUUCUGAACGUUUGACCUCGGAUCAGGUAGGAAUACCCGCUGAACUUAAGCAUAUCAAUAAGCGGAGGA
rnacentral:misc_RNA from 1 species